CUUGGGACCGCCGGUCAGAGC
rnacentral:miRNA from 1 species